rnacentral:rRNA from 1 species
AGUGAACGCUGGCGGUAGGCCUAACACAUGCAAGUCGAACGGCAGCACAGUAAGAGCUUGCUCUUACGGGUGGCGAGUGGCGGACGGGUGAGGAAUACAUCGGAAUCUACUUUUUCGUGGGGGAUAACGUAGGGAAACUUACUCUAAUACCGCAUACGACCUACGGGUGAAAGCAGGGGAUCUUCGGCCCUUGCGCGAUUGAAUGAGCCGAUGUCGGAUUAGCUAGUUGGCGGGGUAAAGGCCCACCAAGGCGACGAUCCGUAGCUGGUCUGAGAGGAUGAUCAGCCACACUGGAACUGAGACACGGUCCAGACUCCUACGGGAGGCAGCAGUGGGGAAUAUUGGACAAUGGGCGCAAGCCUGAUCCAGCCAUACCGCGUGGGUGAAGAAGGCCUUCGGGUUGUAAAGCCCUUUUGUUGGGAAAGAAAAGCAGCAGGUUAAUACCCCGCUGUCCUGACGGUACCCAAAGAAUAAGCACCGGCUAACUUCGUG